AGGAAAGGCCCAAACCCAAUCCCAGGGAAUAGUGAAACUUCAUGGGAUCUUUCUGUCCAGGCGCAGGUAGUCCGCAUCUUCACAGACAUGUCUAUUUCACCGAGCCUCUCUUCGAGACAGUGCCCAGAUCGUUACGCCUUUUGUGCGGCCACACUAGGACUGAGACACUGCCCAGACUCCUACGAGAGGCAACAGUGGGAAAUUUUUUGCAAUGGGCUAAGGCCUA
rnacentral:lncRNA from 1 species